rnacentral:tRNA from 1 species
GCGCCCGUAGCUCAGGGGAUAGAGCACUGGCCUCCGGAGCCAGGAGCGCAGGUUCGAGUCCUGCCGGGCGCGCCA